UACGUAGGGUGCGAGCGUUAAUCGGAAUUACUGGGCGUAAAGCGUGCGCAGGCGGUUUUGUAAGCCAGAUGUGAAAGCCCCGGGCUUAACCUGGGAAUGGCAUUUGGGACUGCAAGGCUUGAGUGCGGCAGAGGAGACUGGAAUUCCUGGUGUAGCAGUGAAAUGCGUAGAUAUCGGGAGGAACAUCUGUGGCGAAGGCGACACCCUGGACCAGCACUGACACUGAGGCACGAAAGCGUGGGGAGCAAACAGG
rnacentral:rRNA from 1 species